UACGAAGGGUGCAAGCGUUACUCGGAAUUACUGGGCGCAAAGCGUGCGUAGGUGGUUCGUUAAGUCUGAUGUGAAAGCCCUGGGCUCAACCUGGGAAUGGCAUUGGAUACUGGCGGACUGGAGUGCGGUAGAGGAUGGCGGAAUUCCCGGUGUAGCAGUGAAAUGCGUAGAGAUCGGGAGGAACAUCUGUGGCGAAGGCGGCCAUCUGGACCAGCACUGACACUGAGGCACGAAAGCGUGGGGAGCAAACAGG
rnacentral:rRNA from 1 species